GUUACUCUGAAGGCCUCUGAUGUCUAAAUCCAAAAGCAGAGUAUACUGAAAAAGUCAUCAAGGCUACAAUACAGAGGAGGCAUGUCCAGUAGAUGAGGAGCAGAUUCGGUCUUCUCUGCUAUUCUGUUUCAGGUUAUACUGACUUCCUGGAUGUUCUUUUAUUUGUUUACUGUAACUAUGUAAAUGCUGAACUAUGUACAUACUGAACAUGUAAAUACGUAAAUAUUUAUGUUUUUUUGCACACUCUACAUAUGCCUGUAUAUGCCAUUUUUGUACAGUCUUGUUUUGUUUUUUGAAAUAAAAAAAGCUGUUUCUGUUUUGAA